rnacentral:rRNA from 1 species
GUGGGGAAUUUUGGACAAUGGGCGAAAGCCUGAUCCAGCAAUGCCGCGUGUGUGAAGAAGGCCUUCGGGUUGUAAAGCACUUUUGGCAGGGAAGAAACAGUGCGUGCUAAUACCAUGCGCGAAUGACGGUACCUGCAGAAUAAGCACCGGCUAACUACGUGCCAGCAGCCGCGGUAAUACGUAGGGUGCAAGCGUUAAUCGGAAUUACUGGGCGUAAAGCGUGCGCAGGCGGCUUUGUAAGACGGAUGUGAAAGCCCCGGGCUCAACCUGGGAAGUGCAUUCGUGACUGCAAGGCUAGAGUGGGUCAGAGGGAGGUGGAAUUCCGCGUGUAGCAGUGAAAUGCGUAGAGAUGCGGAGGAACACCGAUGGCGAAGGCAGCCUCCUGGGAUAACACUGACGCUCAGGCACGAAAGCGUGGGGAGCAAACAGGAUUAGAUACCCGGGUAGUCC